GACGAACGCUGGCGGCGUGCUUAACACAUGCAAGUCGAACGAUGAAGCCGGAGCUUGCUCUGGUGAAUUAGUGGCGAACGGGUGAGUAACACGUGAGUAACCUGCCCUUGACUCUGGGAUAACUGCUAGAAAUGGUAGCUAAUACCGGAUACGACCCUCGGAGGCAUCUCCAGGGGGUGGAAAGAAUUUCGGUCAAGGAUGGACUCGCGGCCUAUCAGCUAGUUGGUGAGGUAAUGGCUCACCAAGGCGACGACGGGUAGCCGGCCUGAGAGGGGGACCGGCCACACUGGGCCUGGGGCACGGCCCAGACUCCUACGGGAGGCAGCAGUGGGGAAUAUUGCACAAUGGGCGCGAGCCUGAUGCAGCAACGCCGCGUGAGGGAUGACGGCCUUCGGGUUGUAAACCUCUUUUAGUAGGGAAGAAGCGAAAGUGACGGUACCUGCAGAAAAAGCACCGGCUAACUACGUGCCAGCCGCCGCAGUAA
rnacentral:rRNA from 1 species